AUGAUUCAUGAUUCACAGCAUUCGUUUCACCGGUCUACUACUACUAAACGCAUCCACUGUGCGCGGUAGACUGGCGGGCGAAAUUCAGCACUGAAUCGUUCUCUGGUUAAGACAAAAAACCCGCGCCACUGCGCGGGUUUUUUU
rnacentral:sRNA from 1 species